UGGGGAAUAUUGGACAAUGGGGGCAACCCUGAUCCAGCAAUGCCGCGUGUGUGAAGAAGGUCUUCGGAUUGUAAAGCACUUUCGACGGGGACGAUGAUGACGGUACCCGUAGAAGAAGCCCCGGCUAACUUCGUGCCAGCAGCCGCGGUAAUACGAAGGGGGCUAGCGUUGCUCGGAAUGACUGGGCGUAAAGGGCGUGUAGGCGGUUUACACAGUCAGAUGUGAAAUCCCCCGGGCUUA
rnacentral:rRNA from 1 species